rnacentral:lncRNA from 1 species
AAGAACCAGGAACCAAAAUGGCGUCCUUAUUUGAACUUGAGACGCUAGAAGCACUUCUUGGUAUGUGUAUAUUUUCCUCUUUCUCUUUUCUUUUUAAUCUUUUCUGAGAUUCUUUACCUCACGAGUUUCUUGUAGGUUCACAUGGCAAUAAAUAAAUUUAUUUUGCUUUGUCGAAAGACUCAAAACACCACGUUUAAAUGUAAUAUUAGAUGGAAUAAAAGGUUUUGUACUUUUAAUGUGUUGAUAGACCGGAACUUUGUCAGUGCAAAUACUAUUGUAUUAUAUAAUAUGGUACAAAACUUUAUCACUCGUAGAUAAAUGCACAGACCCCUCCACGGGAAAAGAGGAUUGGCGAUACGUAAAUGCGUUUUGCGACCGCGUAACCAAAGAUUAUGACGGGUAAUUACGAAAUUUUAUGUACUUUGGAAACUAGUGUGGGUUUUAAGUAUUAGUGGAAAGGGUUUUGUUGUAUUAUGUGUACUUACUGUACAUAUUUGGAUGUACAUAUUUGUACUG